rnacentral:misc_RNA from 1 species
CCGAGUUAGGGUCUUCCAGGCCCGACCUCCCAACCCUUUGUUGACCAUACCAUGUUGCUUUGGUAGGCCCGCCUUUAGGGGCCGCCGGGGACUUUUAUGCCUCUGGUCAGUGCCUGCCAGUAGCCUUAUCAAAUUCUUUUAUAAUUAUGUAGUCUGAGUAUAGAUAUAAAUCGUUA